UACGUAGGCAGCAAGCGUUGUUCGGAAUUACUGGGCGUAAAGAGUGUGUAGGCGGUGUUCUAAGUCUGUUGUGAAAUCUCCCGGCUUAACUGGGAGGGUGCGGCGGAAACUGGAAUGCUAGAGGAUGGGAGAGGUAAGCGGAAUUCCUGGUGUAGCGGUGAAAUGCGUAGAUAUCGGGAGGAAGGCCGGUGGCGAAGGCGGCGCUCUGGAACAUUUCUGACGCUGAGGCUCGAAAGCGUGGGGAGCAAACAGG
rnacentral:rRNA from 1 species